rnacentral:misc_RNA from 1 species
GGCGUGUCCAUAAACUCAUUGAGUUGCCUCCUAUACCUUGGCCAAUUUCUGCUAAAAUCCAAUGUAAAAUUACGCCAGCGCAAUCCAAUUCCAAACUCCCUAUCAAUCUCGCGCGCUCGGUCGGCCGCCGAUUGAGCAACAGAACUAACACGGCGCGAGACAGAGUAACGCCUAUCAAGGCUCUCCGCAGUUUUCCUCGCCUCGAAUACGAAUUUCUCGAAGCCAUCGUUGGCGCCUCGCCACACUUUGUUCCAGGCCUCGCCAAAACCGUCGCUGUUGCCGCCGCCCCGACGGUAUGCCUGAACGAAGCCAACAGUUCUCCGGAAAGGGAUCAUUGAGGGCCUACUCCUCCUCAAUCUUAACGGAGCUUGAAGCGGUGGCUGCCAUGGCGGCAGAGCUGUUGAAGCUAUCAUCACAAGUUGU